UGGGGAAUAUUGGACAAUGGGCGAAAGCCUGAUCCAGCCAUGCCGCGUGUGUGAAGAAGGUCUUCGGAUUGUAAAGCACUUUAAGUUGGGAGGAAGGGCAGUAAGCUAAUACCUUGCUGUUUUGACGUUACCAACAGAAUAAGCACCGGCUAACUCUGUGCCAGCAGCCGCGGUAAUACAGAGGGUGCAAGCGUUAAUCGGAAUUACUGGGCGUAAAGCGCGCGUAGGUGGUUCAGCAAGUUGGAUGUGAAAUCCCCGGGCUCAACCUGGGAACUGCAUCCAAAACUACUGAGCUAGAGUACGGUAGAGGGUGGUGGAAUUUCCUGUGUAGCGGUGAAAUGCGUAGAUAUAGGAAGGAACACCAGUGGCGAAGGCAGCUCUCUGGACCUGAAUUGACGCU
rnacentral:rRNA from 1 species